rnacentral:rRNA from 1 species
CCCUUAGAUGUUCUGGGUUGCACGCGCGCUACAAAGAUGCAAACAACGAGUUUUACGACCUUGUCCGAGAGCGUUGGGUAAGUUGGUAAAAUUCAACGCGGUGGGGUUAGACAACGAGGAUUUACCAGUAAGCGCGAGUCAUCAGCUCGUGCUGAUUACGUUUUUGCCCUUUGUGCGCACCACGCGUCGCUCCUACCGAUUGAGUGAUUCCGUGCAUAAUUCGGACUGCAGCAAUGUUUGGAUCCUGAACGUUGCAGCGGACAGUUUAGUGAACCUCAUCACUUAGAAGAAGGGGAAGUCGUAACA